rnacentral:sRNA from 1 species
GCCACCUAAACGAUCGAUCAUAACUCCCCCACCCUUUUAAUUAGCUCUUUAAACCCAACUAGAAACCUACUCUAGCAUGGUUAAGGAACUCAUCCAAGUAAGGUUUAAUAAACUCAUAAGAACAUGAUGAAUAAGAACUGAAUAGGUGAUAUAACCGUAUAUUUACUGAUUUUAGCUAGCUAUGUUUUAGGUAUAUGAUUUUGAGUCUUUAUGUUUUUUCUCGAAUCUUUUUAGUUUCUUUUCAGGUAUUCUAUGCAAUGGGACAACAAUGGAGAUAAGAAGACAUUUUGGAGCAAAAACUAAGGAAAAGGAAGCUAAGGACGAUUUCAGUUCCAAAUUCAGAGGGAGUGUCGAUCAACACACUCCUGGUGUCGAUCGACACCAGUUUUGGUCCAGCAAAGUCCAUGACGCUUUCAAGUUUACAGAAAAGGAAAUUUGCCCCAGAAGAUUUUCCUAUUUGUAUUAUCAGUCCCUGGACGUUUUAUACGGUUUUUAUAUAGUUGUUUAGACCUAAGUUUCUUUUAUGAAGUUCUUUGCAAAUCCCUAUUUUCAGAGACAUAAGUUAUUCAUCCCUUGUU